rnacentral:piRNA from 1 species
UAGUGACUCAAAGACAUCUGUGCUGCC